GGAGAGGUGGCGGAGUGGUGAACACUAUCGAAUUUAGACCAACAGGGCUCGGGUUCGAAUCCCGCAUUGGCCACUUUUUUA